UGCAACAACCAGACAUUUUGAUGCUGGGAAACCGUUUUAAUAAGCUUUCUGAGUUGCUAAUACAUUGAACCAAUGGGGAAUAAAACCACUUCUGUUGCCAAAAUGCGCGCGCAGGCUAUUUGAUCACGUGGACUGUAAAAGGGUCUAUAGGAGUAAAGUGAACUGUUAACAGCUGGCGGAGUGAGUUCAUCGAUCAAUCAGCCCAAAGAUGGUAGCCUACCAGAAGGGCUGUAAAAUUAAUUGGCCUGGCAAAUACACCCGUCUAUCACUAAAGACAUCACUUUUUCUAUAAAAAGGAACAUCACAACCCACUUGACAGGUGUACCAUAGAAGGGGUGCAGAGUCUGCGUCCGCCACUCUGUCGUGCCAGUCAAACAUGAUGGACAUUGUGGACAUAAUGCUUGCGCGGCGGAAACCAUGGAAACUGAGAAAGUCACUGCUGAGGUGUUCAGAUUAGGAAGGUCUCACACAGAGAACUACAUAGUCGAGAGUGUGUUCAUAAACAAAAAGCUUACCUGCAUGUGUAAAGAUAAAAAAAGAAGAGAGAAGAAAGCAGGCUUGCCCAGAAUCAGGGGAAAAAUUAUGUGUCACGUGAUUGUGUCAUGUGCAAAUUUAAUAAUGUGGUUCGUGGCUAUUCAAAUGGAUAUGCUUGAAAUGGUCACUGUGAUUUUUUCAUUUUGAAUAAUGUGGAGAGACUGUGAUAUUGCCAUUUCAUGGGUGCCACUUCAAUUGGUAAAAUAAGUCUUGAUUCAUGUGCAUUUGAAAAAAAAAUUACUGAGUUGUCUGU